UGGGUUUGACAUCCUGGAAGUAGGUGCCUGAAAGGGUUACCGACCCGUAAAGUCGGGUACCAGGACAGGUGUUGCAUGGCUGUCGUCAGCUCGUGCCGUGAGGUGUUGGGUUAAGUCCCGCAACGAGCGCAACCCCCGCCUUAUGUUGCCACCGGGUAGUGCCGAGCACUCAUGGGGGACUGCCGGAGAAACUCCGGAGGAAGGUGGGGAUGACGUUUCCUCAUGCGUU
rnacentral:misc_RNA from 1 species